AUUGAACGCUGGCGGCAUGCUUUACACAUGCAAGUCGAACGGUAACAGCACUUCGGUGGCUGACGAGUGGCGCACGGGUGAGUAAUACAUCGGAACGUGCCUAGUAGUGGGGGAUAACUACUCGAAAGAGUAGCUAAUACCGCAUGAGAUCUAAGGAUGAAAGCAGGGGACCUUCGGGCCUUGCGCUACUAGAGCGGCUGAUGGCAGAUUAGGUAGUUGGUGGGAUAAAAGCUUACCAAGCCGACGAUCUGUAGCUGGUCUGAGAGGACGACCAGCCACACUGGGACUGAGACACGGCCCAGACUCCUACGGGAGGCAGCAGUGGGGAAUUUUGGACAAUGGGCGCAAGCCUGAUCCGGCAAUGCCGCGUGCAGGAUGAAGGCCUUCGGGUUGUAAACUGCUUUUGUACGGAACGAAAAGCCCUCUUCUAAUACAGGAGGGUCAUGACGGUACCGUAAGAAUAAGCACCGGCUAACUACGUG
rnacentral:rRNA from 1 species